GAAAUGCUUCCUGCCAUAGUUCAAGAUCAGUUGCAAUUUUGAGUUGCUCUACUCUUGUAUCCAAGUAUAGCUGCAAUGUUUCCGGAGCUGUGAGAUCAGGCCUAUCUCUUUGGUCCUUGUAUUUGUUUAAGUUCGCAAGAUGGUUCCGUAUAAUCUCGCAGAGCCUACGGAACUCAGUGGUUCUCUUGUAUUGUUUACAAAACUGGAAGGCCCGAUGUGCUGUCAUCGCAUAAAGUGCUUCCAACUUUGAAUUGUUCCUCAGAAUCUCCAGCACGGUCCUGUAUGUCUCCCACAAGAACUUGAACCACGGCGUAACAAGCUCCCUAUCCGACCUAUCCUUCCCCUUCUCCCCACUUACAUAACUAAGCAUCAAAUCCUCCGGCCGCCGAUCGGCCUCCAAAUCCUCAACAUCCAGCGCAUCAUCCAGCGCUU
rnacentral:misc_RNA from 1 species